rnacentral:rRNA from 1 species
GACGAACGCUGGCGGCGUGCUUAACACAUGCAAGUCGAACGGAAAGGCCCUGCUUGCAGGGUACUCGAGUGGCGAACGGGUGAGUAACACGUGGGUGAUCUGCCCUGCACUUCGGGAUAAGCCUGGGAAACUGGGUCUAAUACCGGAUAGGAGCCAUUUUUAGUGUGAUGGUUGGAAAGUUUUUUCGGUGUAGGAUGAGCUCGCGGCCUAUCAGCUUGUUGGUGGGGUAAUGGCCUACCAAGGCGGCGACGGGUAGCCGGCCUGAGAGGGUGGACGGCCACAGUGGGACUGAGAUACGGCCCAGACUCCUACGGGAGGCAGCAGUGGGGAAUAUUGCACAAUGGGCGCAAGCCUGAUGCAGCGACGCCGCGUGGGGGAUGACGGCCUUCGGGUUGUAAACUCAUUUCGCUAGGGACGAAGCUUUUUGUGACGGUACCUAGAUAAGAAGCACCGGCUAACUACGUG